rnacentral:tRNA from 1 species
CCCGUGGUCUAGCGGCUAUGACGUCGCCUUGACGUGGCGAAGGUCCCCGGUUCGAAACCCGAGGGA